AAGUCGUAACAAGGUUUCCGUAGGUGAACCUGCGGAAGGAUCAUUACAGAGUUCAUGCCCUCGCGGGUAGACCUCCCACCCUUGUGUAUUUAUACUAUGUUGCUUUGGCAGGCUGCUGCCCCCCUCGGGGACAGCCCCAGCGCCCUCGGGCCUGGGAGUCGCCUGCCGGAGGAAAAACAAACUCUGAAUUGUUAGUGUCGUCUGAGUACUAUAUUUUAAUAGUUAAAACUUUCAACAACGGAUCUCUUGGUUCUG
rnacentral:misc_RNA from 1 species